rnacentral:rRNA from 1 species
GGUGAGUAAUGCAUCGGAACGUACCCAUUUGUGGGGGAUAACUAACCGAAAGGUUAGCUAAUACCGCAUAAGUCCUGAGGGAGAAAGCAGGGGAUCGCAAGACCUUGCGCAGAUGGAGCGGCCGAUGUCGGAUUAGCUAGUUGGUGAGGUAAAGGCCCACCAAGGCGACGAUCCGUAGCUGGUCUGAGAGGAUGAUCAGCCACACUGGAACUGAGACACGGUCCAGACUCCUACGGGAGGCAGCAGUGGGGAAUUUUGGACAAUGGGGGCAACCCUGAUCCAGCCAUUCCGCGUGAGUGAAGAAGGCCUUCGGGUUGUAAAGCUCUUUCGGCAGGAGCGAAACGGUGGGGACUAAUACUCCCUGCUAAUGACGGUACCUGAAGAAGAAGCACCGGCUAACUACGUGCCAGCAGCCGCGGUAAUACGUAGGGUGCGAGCGUUAAUCGGAAUUACUGGGCGUAAAGCGUGCGCAGGCGGCUCUAUAAGACAGAUGUGAAAUCCCCGGGCUUAACCUGGGAACUGCGUUUGUGACUGUAGGGCUCGAGUGUGGUUGAGGGGGGUGGAAUUCCACGUGUAGCAGUGAAAUGCGUAGAGAUGUGUAGGAACACCGAUGGCGAAGACAGCUCUCUGGGCUAACACUGACGCUCAUGCACGAAAGCGUGGGUAGCACACAGGAUUAGAUACCCUGGUAGUCCACGCCCUACACGAUGCCAACUAGGUGUUGGGGAAGGAGACUUCCUUAGUACCGAAGCUAACGCGUGAAGUUGGCCGCCUGGAGAGUACGGUCGCAAGAUUC